UACGUAGGGUGCAAGCGUUGUCCGGAAUUAUUGGGCGUAAAGAGCUCGUAGGCGGUUUGUCGCGUCGGCUGUGAAAACUCGGGGCUCAACCCCGAGCCUGCAGUCGAUACGGGCAGACUAGAGUGCUGUAGGGGAGACUGGAAUUCCUGGUGUAGCGGUGAAAUGCGCAGAUAUCAGGGGGAACACCGGUGGCGAAGGCGGGUCUCUGGGCAGUAACUGACGCUGAGGAGCGAAAGCGUGGGGAGCGAACAGG
rnacentral:rRNA from 1 species